rnacentral:rRNA from 1 species
GCGCUACACUGCAGUCGAGCGGUAGAGAGAACUUGCUUCUCUUGAGAGCGGCGGACGGGUGAGUAAUGCCUAGGAAUCUGCCUAGUGGUGGGGGAUAACGUUCGGAAACGGACGCUAAUACCGCAUACGUCCUACGGGAGAAAGCGGGGGAUCUUCGGACCUCGCGCCAUUAGAUGAGCCUAGGUCGGAUUAGCUAGUUGGUGAGGUAAUGGCUCACCAAGGCGACGAUCCGUAACUGGUCUGAGAGGAUGAUCAGUCACACUGGAACUGAGACACGGUCCAGACUCCUACGGGAGGCAGCAGUGGGGAAUAUUGGACAAUGGGCGAAAGCCUGAUCCAGCCAUGCCGCGUGUGUGAAAAAGGUCUUCGGAUUGUAAAGCACUUUAAGUUGGGAGGAAGG